rnacentral:rRNA from 1 species
UACGUAGGGGGCAAGCGUUGUCCGGAAUCAUUGGGCGUAAAGCGCGCGUAGGCGGCCCGAUAAGUCCGCUGUAAAAGUCCAGGGCUCAACCCUGGAAAGCCGGUGGAUACUGUCGGGCUAGAGUCCGGAAGAGGCGAGUGGAAUUCCUGGUGUAGCGGUGAAAUGCGUAGAUAUCGGGAGGAACACCGGUGGCGAAGGCGGGUCUCUGGGCCGAUACUGACGCUGAGGAGCGAAAGCGUGGGGAGCAAACAGG